rnacentral:rRNA from 1 species
CCUACGGGAGGCAGCAGUGGGGAAUCUUAGACAAUGGGCGCAAGCCUGAUCUAGCCAUGCCGCGUGAGUGACGAAGGCCUUAGGGUCGAAAAGCUCUUUCGCCAGGGAUGAUAAUGACAGUACCUGGUAAAGAAACCCCGGCUAACUCCGUGCCAGCAGCCGCGGUAAUACGGAGGGGGUUAGCGUUGUUCGGAAUUACUGGGCGUAAAGCGCGCGUAGGCGGAUUGGAAAGUUGGGGGUGAAAUCCCGGGGCUCAACCCCGGAACUGCCUCCAAAACUAUCAGUCUAGAGUUCGAGAGAGGUGAGUGGAAUUCCGAGUGUAGAGGUGAAAUUCGUAGAUAUUCGGAGGAACACCAGUGGCGAAGGCGGCUCACUGGCUCGAUACUGACGCUGAGGUGCGAAAGUGUGGGGAGCAAACAGGAUUAGAUACCCUGGUAGUCCACACCGUAAACGAUGAAUGCCAGACGUCAGGGGGUUUUACCCUUUGGUGUCACACCUAACGGAUUAAGCAUUCCGCCUGGGGAGUACGGUCGCAAGAUUAAAACUCAAAGGAAUUGACGG